rnacentral:rRNA from 1 species
GAUGAACGCUGGCGGCGUGCCUAACACAUGCAAGUCGAACGGAGAUUACGGACGGAAGUUUUCGGAUGGAAGCCUGUAAUUCUUAGUGGCGGACGGGUGAGUAACGCGUGGGCAACCUGCCCUAUACAGGGGGAUAGCAGCUGGAAACGGCUGGUAAGACCGCAUAAGUCGGUUAAAUCGCAUGAUUUGAUCGGGAAAUGAGCAAUCAGGUAUAGGAUGGGCCCGCGUCCGAUUAGCCAGUUGGCAGGGUAAAAGCCUACCAAAGCGACGAUCGGUAGCCGGACUGAGAGGUCGGACGGCCACAUUGGGACUGAGACACAGCCCAAACUCCUACGGGAGGCAGCAGUGGGGGAUAUUGCACAAUGGAGGAAACUCUGAUGCAGCGACGCCGCGUGAGUGAAGAAGUAUGUCGGUAUGUAAAGCUCUAUCAGCAGGGAAGAUGAUGACGGUACCUGACUAAGAAGCCCCGGCUAACUACGUG